GAAGCUUGUGCCUGGUUUCUUCUGGACUUUGCCAUGUGCCUUUUUUCUUGCCGAUUUUGCUGUGUACCCUUUGAAUUAGAUUUUAUUUUUUCCUUUUUCUCCCCAAAGCCCCCCGGUACAUAUUUGUAUAUUCUUAGUUGUGGGUCCUUCUAGUUGUAGCAUGUGGGAUGCCGCCUCAGCGUGGUCGGAUGAGCGGUGCCAUGUCUGCGCCCAGGAGUCGAACUGGCGAAACCCUGACACAGUUGGAAACGUUGGUUAUCUUACCAAAGCUUUGACUGGAAUGUCAUAUUUGAGAGAAACAUACAGACUCAGAUAUGACAAGACAGCUUUUGAGGAAUAAAGGUUGACUUCCUGUAAUAAAGCCACUUGGAAAUAUUGGCUUGGUCCUUGUUUACAAGGAAUCCAGCAACCUGGGUAAGUAAGGAAGGUCACUUAUCUGGCAGGUGCCUGGAAUCUCAAAAUACUUUGGGGAGCCUCAAGAGAAGAGAGGAAUUCACCCAAAUCUAAACUCCAGGCAAAGCCUGAUGACAAAUCCUUGGCUUGGCUUUUCUGGCCUCGAGAGGCAUUUAAAGCUCAACUUGAGAUUCCUUAUAAAAAGUUCUAGCAAAGCAGAUUUUAAAAAGCCUAUAUGAUCAAUGGCUAUUCUUGCUGUAAUUAUGUAAAUAAUUGAAUUAAGUUUUAUUGAAACUAGGCUUAUCUUGCAAACCAGUUAGUCUUAAUUUGGCUCUCUUUGGUAAAAAUGAGGGUGAUUUUAGAGAGAAAAAUUAUGUUUCAAUAAAAACUGUAGUACACAUUCAUGGAUAUUAGGUUCUAGUUCUGAUAAUUUUAUUUGAGGUUUUUAUUUUAUGUCUGUUAACUGGACUGGAUCCUGAAUUCUUCUAGUCUCUUGAAAUAUCUGGCUACAAAUCUCCAAACUAACAUUUUCAAUUUUUUCCCCACCAUUUUCAUUUGGAAUCAUUGAGAACUGAACCUGCCCUUUUUCCUGAAGACUUUCAAACUGAAGCUGGGCGACUUGAUAUAAACGUAAGAGAGAUUCAUGUCUAUUGCUGUGUAAGACACUCAGUAAGAUACCUGAACACGUGGUGACAUCAUCAGAGACAUUUCAAACUGCAAAAGAUGCUUCCACUCUGACACCUAGAAAUCUUUUGUCUGGCUGCCGCCUGGGUUCAGAAAGGCUCAACUUUGUGAGCCCACCUGCAUCACCAUCUUACUAAGAGACUGGUUCAAUGAGAUGGAACAACCUAUGCCCCUCAUCAACAGGAUAAUCCCUCAAGAUUGAAGAUGAACAACAAAAGGUGGGAUUGACACCAGUCAACACAAGGUUGGCAUAAGGGAAGCCAUAUUGUAAAAAAGAAACCAUAUUGUAACUUUGAAUGACUUCUGAUUAACUAACCCAGACAUACUCUGUAGAUUUUAUGGACCCUCUUAGUUGUUAUAAGUUGAUAACUUUGUUCUUUUGAAUUACUUAGGAAUGUGAUGACCCCCAGGCAGAGAGUCUGUGCUGAUGGCCAUUAUCAAUGACAACUGAAAGACCAGGGUAUAGGCCAUUGCUCUGGUCUCUGAUGCAUAUCCAAUAAAACAAAAGACUAUCAGGAACUGAGACCAGAUGUCUGCCCCACCUGGAGGUCAGGAUGGAGGCCCCACUGGAAUUAGGUCUAUUUUUGACGGACUGUUAAAAUUUGGAUUGUCUAUACUUAUCCUUAUCAUCAGAUACUUGAUUAUAAAUUGUGCUUUUUAGAUGUAGAGCAAGAUACAAAAUUCUAAUAAUACAAAAACGUCAACAUGAAGCCUGGAACAAGGGAAUAUUUCCAAAUGAGAGUGCUAAACAGUUUCAUUCCUCUAAGCCAGAUCUAUGCCCCGAUUCAGCAGGAAGUAGCUAGAUUGGUUGUUGCCCCAAAUCCCUCAAGAAUGAGGAAUGACCAAAGAAUAGGGGGAUUGAAACUGGCAGAAAGUUAGCUAUUGAUGAUUAAGUAGCUAGGAACUAAAGUUUUUUUUCCUUUUUGCAAUUACUGAUUAUAGCUUUUAGCUGUUUAACCCAUCCAUUGUUAACCGUGCUGUUUAGGCAAUAUGCUAUCUGACUCCCACUAGGCUCCUAUGGAUAACAUCUUUCUGGAGCCUAGGUCACCAUGGUAAUGGGCAUGUGAGCUGUUUUUCAGGAAUUAGAACUCCUCGUCCACUUCAGGCCAGUUGAGACCACCAAAUCAUCAACUGGGCCUGCAGAGAUGUCCGAUUUGUGACCAUUUGACAACAAGAGGCUAAAAACUCCACCCUCAGAUCAUGCUAAUGCCACCAUUUUGUGAACAUGGGUCCUAUGAAGAGGCAUGAAGUCUGACUAUGUUUGUGCAGACCAUCAAUUACCUCACCUCUAAUCAUGUCUCUCCACAUUUCUGACUGCCUUGCCCCCUGUCCCAUAAAUAUCCCUGAGACCCUAUUUUUGGGGAAGUGCAUUUGGGGCUCAUGGUCUCACUUCCUCACAUGGCUGCCUUGUGAGUAAACCCUCUCUCUGCUGUAAUCCCGUUGUCUUGGUGUUUGGCUUUCUGGGUGGUGGGCAAGAAUGAACCUGGUUUGGUAACAAGAUGAACUGAUAAUCAGUUCAAAUAUCUUUCUAAAGUAGCCAAAUCUCCUACAUGUGAAUUUUAGACUUUAAAAAUUCAGUACCCUAAGAGUGAUGAUCAUCUGUCAAAAUGAUUCACUUUUCACAGCACAGUUUUAAGAUGAAUUAUUUUACAUUUUAUAUUUGCACUCUCUGGGCUACAAAGAAUGACACAAUGGGCAUGGCCUGCUAUUUAUUUGCAACAUAAAGGAGACUAAACAUGAAAUCACUAUUGUAUUUGUAUUCAGAAAUUAGGAUGAGUUAGAGGAAGCAGGAACUGUUAAUGUGAGGCUUGUUUAAGUGGGGCCUCUUGUUUACAUUCAUUUGCUAAAGAUGCAGGCUGGUUUGUAACCAAUGGCAUCUGAAAGGGUCCAUUUGGCCCUUACUCUCAGAUAUACCUGAAGGACCCCACCCUUCCAGCCAGACACUGCUCCCUGCCUUCCUCUUUUCACAGCAGCCUCUGCUGCCUCCUCAGCCUUCUCCACCUCCCCAGCCUCCUUGCCUCCUUGUCUCCUUGCAUCCUCAGCUUUGGACUUCUCAGGCCUCAGUCUCCUCAGUUCUCAUCUCCUUUCACAGUGUGGAUCUCCUCCCUCAGACCCCCUCUUUGGUUGGUCUGGGUAUUUGGAUGAAUUCUUUUCAUUUACUUCUGGCAGGAGGAUGGCAAGAUCAUGCCACUGGUCUAGUCCCCCACGUCUGUAGACUGCAUAUGGAGGUGUGCCUUUUGCAAGGGGGAGCAGGUUUUCAUUUCCUUGAAGACCUGGGGUCAGAGUGGGGACUGAUGGUGCAGACAGUGAAGCCCUUGUGUGGAGGGGAAAGGCCCUCACUUCCUGCUUGCUCAUGUCCUAGGCAACCACGGAAGACACGGGCAUCUGGAUGACCUGUCGGCAACAUCAGGGUUCCUGAUCCACCAGCGCCACUUCAUCCACUCAUGGCAUUCACAGAAGUCACUAGUCAUAACCCUGUGCCAAACAAAAUGGGGGUAUUAGAAGUCAGGCCUCAGUGCCAGGACAGAGUAAGAUUUCAAGGAGGAUUUGCUAAAUGAACGUGUGAAUGAAUGCAGUGGUUAAAUCAACUUUCUUGUAUUUCCUUUAUCUUGAAUCAAAUUGCUUGCUAUUUUUAGCCAUAUUUUAACUGAUUGGUAAGGCGUAUUUACUGCUACACAUAACAUCGCUGAGGGGGACUCCAGAGGUGACUCUGACCCAUUCUGAAGCACGUGCAUCUGUGAACUCUGUUUUUCUCCCACAGUAAUAAUCCAUUUAAAGAAGUCAUAUAUAGAGGAAAUGUGGAUGGUUGUUCUAUUAUGAAUGUUUGUUUUUCCUUUGUGCCAAUCUGUAUUUGCCACAAUAAAAAAUGCGACAAUUUACCAAGCAUCUACCGUGUUUUGAGACAUCAAGCAACAUGUCUGGGGAGUUUUUCUUAGUUUCUACUCAAAUUGACU
rnacentral:lncRNA from 1 species